rnacentral:tRNA from 1 species
GUUUAUGUAGCUUAAUGCAAAGCACAGCACUGAAGAUGCUGAGAUGAGCCCUAAAAAGCUCCGUCGACA